GACGAACGCUGGCGGCGUGCCUAAUACAUGCAAGUUGAGCGCUGAAGGUUGGUACUUGUACCAACUGGAUGAGCAGCGAACGGGUGAGUAACGCGUGGGGAAUCUGCCUUUGAGCGGGGGACAACAUUUGGAAACGAAUGCUAAUACCGCAUAAAAACUUUAAACACAAUUUUUAAGUUUGAAAGAUGCAAUUGCAUCACUCAAAGAUGAUCCCGCGUUGUAUUAGCUAGUUGGUGAGGUAAAGGCUCACCAAGGCGAUGAUACAUAGCCGACCUGAGAGGGUGAUCGGCCACAUUGGGACUGAGACACGGCCCAAACUCCUACGGGAGGCAGCAGUAGGGAAUCUUCGGCAAUGGACGAAAGUCUGACCGAGCAACGCCGCGUGAGUGAAGAAGGUUUUCGGAUCGUAAAACUCUGUUGGUAGAGAAGAACGUUGGUGAGAGUGGAAAGCUCAUCAAGUGACGGUAACUACCCAGAAAGGGACGGCUAACUACGUG
rnacentral:rRNA from 1 species